UACAUGGGGUGCAAACGUUGCUCGGAAUUAUUGGGCGUAAAGCGCGCGUAGGCGGUUACUCAAGUCGGAUGUGAAAGCCCUCGGCUUAACUGAGGAAGUGCACCCGAAACUGAGUAGCUAGAGUACCAAAGAGGGUCGCGGAAUUCCCGGUGUAGAGGUGAAAUUCGUAGAUAUCGGGAGGAACACCGGUGGCGAAGGCGGCGACCUGGGUGGAUACUGACGCUGAGGCGCGAAAGCUAGGGUAGCAAACAGG
rnacentral:rRNA from 1 species